GUGAGUGCGCGCCGUCGUAGACUUUGCCUUUCUCUCAGCGGUGAUAGAUCACCGUUUUAGAGGCAUUUAAAUUCCUAACGCUCUUCGAUCAAGGUGACGCGCAUCAGCAUUAAUGUAUUGGCUGUGCAAACAAUAGGUACUGCAGACCGCGACGCGCAGCAGUCGGGCCGCGUGUAGUCAUUGUAUCAGAGCGGUAAACAGUGCCUCUUCUAGGCGGAUGUUCAUGUGCUGAACGCAUUAAUACCCACUCUGCACCAGGGCGACUAUUUACUAUAUCCACAAAACACCCCAGGUUGGAAACGAAGAUUGUUUUUCCAUUUCUCGCCGAAGGAGCUGAAGUUUCACUUACCGUUGAAGUUUGUAACUUUCGUGAUCAAGAGAAUAACUGCGACUACAACGUUUUCUUUGAAUUACAACUGUGUAAGCAAUCAUAUAUGUUGAUAUGCUGUUUCCAUUUUACACAAUAUAGUCACAUAUGUCCGUGCUUCCGUCUUUGAGAAUUGUGUAUUGUACAAUAAACAUUUUCUGGUAAAUUUUA